rnacentral:rRNA from 1 species
AUAUUGUCCUUAUUCUAAGGCGCUCGGGAGAACCACUCAUGAGGAACUCGACCAAUUGACCCCGUAACUUCGGAAGAAGGGGUGCUCUCGCCGUCAUGGGCAUACGCCCGGCAGCGGUUGAGAGCGGCACUGAAAUGGCUCAGGCGACUGUUUAUCAAAAACACAGGUCUCUGCUAAGUCGUAAGACGACGUAUAGGGGCUGACGCCUGCCCAAUGCCGGAAGGUUAACGGGAGAGGUUAGCGUAAGCGAAGCCUUGAACCGAAGCCCCGGUUAAUGGCGGCCGUAACUAUAACGGUCCUAAGGUAGCGAAAUUCCUUGUCGGGUAAGUUCCGACCUGCACUAAUGGCGUAACGAUCUGAGCAUUGUCUCAAGGGUGGUCCCGGUGAAGUUGUAUUACCUGUGAAGAUGCAGGUUACCCGCAGUAGGACGGAAAGACCCUGUGCACCUUCACUGCAGAUUGAUAUUGGGUUUAGUUGUGGUUUGUAUAGGAUAGGUGGGAGUCAUUGAAGCUGGCGCGUUAGCGUCGGUGGAGACAACCUUGGAAUACUACCCUGACCUUAACUGAAUUCUAACUCCGAACCCGUGAAGCCGGGCGGAGGACAGUGUCUGUCGGGCAGUUUGACUGGGGCGGUCGCCUCCCAAAGAGUAACGGAGGCGCCCCAAGGUUCCCUCAGCACGGAUGGAAAUCGUGCGUCGAGUGUAAAGGCAAAAGGGAGCUUAACUGCGAGACCAACAAGUCGAGCAGAUACGAAAGUAGGGCUUAGUGAUCCAGCGGUCCCAUAUGGAAGGGCCGUUGCUCAACGGAUAAAAGGUACGCCGGGGAUAACAGGCUGAUAACCCCCAAGAGUUCACAUCGACGGGGUUGUUUGGCACCUCGAUGUCGGCUCGUCACAUCCUGGGGCUGAAGCAGGUCCCAAGGGUUCGUCUGUUCGCCGAUUAAAGCGGCACGCGAGCUGGGUUCAAAACGUCGCGAGACAGUUUGGUCCCUAUCCACUGCGGGCGUAGGAAAUUUGCGGGAAGCCGUCUCUAGUACGAGAGGACCGAGAUGGACAUACCCCUGGUGUUCCGGUUGUCACGCCAGUGGCAUCGCCGGGUAGCUAUGUAUGGACGGGAUAAGCGCUGAAAGCAUCUAAGCACGAAGCCCCUCCCAAGAUAAGAUUUCCCAGACCAUAAGGUCUCUAAAGGGCCCUCGAAGACUACGAGGUAAUAGGCUGGAGGUGUAAGCGUAGCGAUACGUUAAGCUGACCAGUACUAAUCAGCCCGUGCGGCUUGGUCGA